AGCCUCUCCUGCCGCGCCGCGUGCGCGCGCUCACGUCGUGGGGACGUGCGGGCCUGUAGUUGGGCGUGGGCGUGAACCCUAGCCCCCCAGUGCCCAGCCGCCACACCCCUGACCCCUCCCUCCUCACUCCCUCGCCACACCGUCGCACCAUCUCCCUCCUCCCUCCUCCCUCAUCACCAGCCGCCGCAACAGGGGAUUUGCGGCCCCUCCAUCAUCACCAGCCGCAGCACCAGGAGAUUUGCCGCCGCCGAGAUCCAGCGUCUUGCAAGGUCCUCGGGUCAGCCUUGUCGCGCCCGCCACUCUGUCGACCAGAUAUGCGCCCUUGACUCCCUCUUCUCUCGCGUCGCGCGGUGCCUGCUGCUCCACCAUGCCACAGUUAACUCGUGGAUGACAGGGCCAUGGACCGGUCCUUAAGGAGAGAAGGAAGAUGAGGGAGAGAGAAGGAAGGAGAGGAGGGAGAAGGAGAGAGGAAAGAGGAGAGUUUGCCACAAAAAUCUUGCUGAGUGUACAGAUCUGAGGAUGAAGAGAAGAAGAAGAAUUUAGCUGAAGGGGUGAAGAAAAUCAAGGUACAGAGUUUAUGGUUACUGAAAUAGGAUAAUAGAGAGUCACAGCUUCAGUUUUCAAUUACAGUAGUUGAUGUGUUAUGUUUGCUGCAAUGUGUCAUGUGUGUUUGAGAGAGAGGGAUGAAAAAGAGGGGACUGGAAGCUUGAUCAUUGCCAGGAUCUGGAUUCAGAGAGAGGGGUGAAAAAGAAGGGACAUGGAUUCAGAGAGGGAUGAAAAGAGGGGACUGAAAGAUCUUGCAUUGCGUUUCUUCAUCUACCAAUACGGUUUUGUGUACCAUUUGAACAUAACCAAGUAGUAUAACCAAAGUGUGCUGGUUUAUGGCUUCUCAUGGGAUGAAGGCUGAGGUGAGCAUCAUGAAGAUGAGCAGGCGAGUGGCUGAUACAGAGAGCUCCUCGAACGGGGAAGCAGCAUUGUUGGAGGAACUCGAAGAUGAGAAGGUUCCGAAGUCAUGCCUUUGCCUUACUGUUGUGCUGAUACUGGAUGCAACAUUGUGGACCUCUGGUUCGAGCAUGGCCAGCAUGGCCACGGAUUGUAGGGGAGGAAUGUAUUGCCUAAUGAGUUGUAUGCUUUCUUCAGAUCCUCUGUGCUCCCUGUCACAUCUGGCUUGGCCACCUACAGAUUCUUGGGUCCAGGUUCCUGAUCUGAAGCGGAGGAACACGAGGCCGCAUCCAUUAAGUGGCAGAAGGGGGUUGCAACGAUUUUCUUCAGUCUGACAAUCAUAUAGUAAUUAGACGGUGUAGUACUAUGGCGGUGGUAUACUGAUUUGGUGUAAGAAUCACUAACAUGACUUUGCGUGUACAAAUCUUACAGACUUGCUGUUUUUUGUUCAGUUGAAGGGCCCUCCAGGCUUAAGAUCUUUCGAGGAUAAUUGCGUCAUUGAAUCUGAAGGUUAUGCGAUCUCCUAUGUUGCUGCAUGUUGAUCUUCUGUUUUGUUGUAACUCUGUUUUGCUGCUCGAGGACAAUUUCCUGGAUUAAUAUCUAUACUGGAGAUCCAGGAGUCCACCCGAAUUCAGUCUCCAAGAAGCCUUUCAUCCAGGAUGCACCAAAAUUCUAAUGUUAUGUGAAAAGCGUGUGUGCUAGAUGUGGCCACUGUCCAGCGUUUUGAUUUGUCCACUCAGGUGCUUUUGUCUAGGUGGUAACACAACAAGCUGCUUAUCUUGUAGAUACUUAUCAUAUGUACAAUCCUAUGUUCGUUCUGUAUGCAUGUUAGAGCAGGAGCUUCUGCCCCUAUGUGAGUUAUCCUAUGGGAAUUAGCAACUUUGCCUGUACUUUCGAGUGGGCUGAAUCCAAUGCAAGUUUUUGGAGCAGUUGGGUUCCAGAACAAACGACUAGGUAUUCCCAAAGAGGUCAAUCCACUGGUGGCUAGCAUAAUAUCUUCAUGUUGGGACAACGAUCAAAGCAAACAACCAUCGUUCUACCAGCUCUUGUCAUCGCUGAAUAAAUUACAGUGGUUACUUGUUACAGAAAGCCUAUGACAAUUUGCGAGUGUUGUUUGUGCAUUUUACUGGUUUUAUGGCAGGUGCAUGUUUGAAUUCAGAUGGCAGUGGUCUCCUUGUUUACAGUUAUAAGAAUAAUAAAAAUAUUGAUAAUGGUCUUUCCACUA